UGCUAAUUUCAAAAGAUUUUUUAAAAUAUGGAAUUGUAUGAGACUUUUUAGUUGGAUGUAUAAAUACCAAAUCCUAUUUCAAAUCCCACCCUAACCCAUUAGACUUUUUCAUGUGAGAUUUUUUUUUUUUCCCUCUAAUGGAGAAGAUGAACAGACGUGCAGUCGUGAGCUCUAUAUGAACAAGUCUACUUGCAGACGAUAUUUCAAUUGCGGGAUCCUAGCAGAUAUUUCAAUGGCUAGAGCCUACUUGCUAUAAAUUCUUAUUGGCAGAUAUGUUCCCACCCACCUCAUCGAAGAAGGCCAAGGCUAGGGCUACACCGGCAAUUGUGGCUGCUCCAUCAACUUUCUUCCGAAGAAUCCACGACAAAUGCAGUGAACUAAUAAGUGGGUUGCCUUCGAAGUCGAUUUGCAAAGCUUUUGGCACGCUCGACAGAUCCACUUUCUUGCAACAAUCAAAGGCAUGAUGAUCCACAAGAAGAAAACAAGCUGCUCAUUAGGAAACCUUGGAAGAAAGAUGGAGAACAACGAGACCGAGGAAAGAGAUCCACUGAGAAGAGCAAAAUGGCCAGAGAUUCGAGAGUAGACUGUAGAGCAAUUACAGCGUGAUUUCAUGUUUGCUGCAAAUGCAAAGCAGUAGACUAACGUUGCCAACAAAAAUAUCCACAUGACUCCUCGGUGUGUGUCGAAUGGAGACUUGGUUGAGCCUUGACAUUUCACCUGAAGGAUGUUGAUUAGCAGUGGAUUCAGAAAUGCAAAGAUGGUAUGCCAUGGCAUUGAGGAAAUGAAUCCUUGCGUUAACCUACACAAUUUUUUGUAACUUCUUAGAUACAGGUUCAUUUUUAUCAAGAUGUAAUGGAUGUAGUCCACAUGCUCUUCCUUUUCAAUUGCAGUUGACUCGAUCACCAAGUAAGCAACUAGUAUGUCCAUAA